GAAUUCGCCCUUAGAGUUUGAUCCUGGCUCAGGAUGAACGCUGGCGGUAUGCUUAACACAUGCAAGUCGAACGGUGUUUUCGGACACAGUGGCGGACGGGUGAGUAACGCGUGAGAAUCUGGUCUUGGGUUCGGGACAACCACUGGAAACGGUGGCUAAUACCGGAUAUGCCUAGCGGUAAAAGAUUAAUCGCCUGAGAGUGAGCUCGCGUCUGAUUAGCUAGUUGGUGGGGUAAGAGCCUACCAAGGCGACGAUCAGUAGCUGGUCUGAGAGGACGAUCAGCCACACUGGGACUGAGACACGGCCCAGACUCCUACGGGAGGCAGCAGUGGGGAAUUUUCCGCAAUGGGCGCAAGCCUGACGGAGCAAUACCGCGUGAGGGAGGAAGGCCCUUGGGUUGUAAACCUCUUUUCUCAGGGAAGAAGACAAUGACGGUACCUGAGGAAUCAGCCUCGGCUAACUCCGUGCCAGCAGCCGCGGUAAUACGGAGGAGGCAAGCGUUAUCCGGAAUGAUUGGGCGUAAAGCGUCCGUAGGUGGCAGAGCAAGUCUGCUGUCAAAGGUCUGGGCUUAACCCGGAACAGGCAGUGGAAACUGCACUGCUGGAGUGCGGUAGGGGCAGAGGGAAUUCCUGGUGUAGCGGUGAAAUGCGUAGAGAUCAGGAAGAACACCGGUGGCGCAAGCGCUCUGCUAGGCCGUAACUGACACUGAGGGACGAAAGCUAGGGGAGCGAAUGGGAUUAGAUACCCCAGUAGUCCUAGCCGUAAACGUUGGAUACUAGGCGUGGCUUGUAUCGACCCGAGCCGUGCCGCAGCUAACGCGUUAAGUAUCCCGCCUGGGGAGUACGCGCGCAAGCGUGAAACUCAAAGGAAUUGACGGAAGGGCGAAUUC
rnacentral:rRNA from 1 species